rnacentral:lncRNA from 1 species
UGGGAUCUGUCUUUUCAACUAUUCUAGUAGUUCCCUACAAUUAUCCAUGUGUCCACAAUUUAUUCAUUCCUAUCGAAGUAGGAGAGUACACAAUCUGUAAACAGUAAUUGUACUUACAAUUCCCAACCCAUUUUACUUUCUCAUCUAUUAUCUUUUCAAAAUGAUUCCAUCCUCAGAACGACCAUGGUGGCCAGACAGUCCCGAUUUUCCCGUAAGUUUUUUCUUCUUGCUCGUCUCCACAGUGCUUUUUAAAAGAGUGUUCGCUUGAAGACAUAAAUGAUAUACUGCAAAAUAAAAUAUGCAAAUAAUUAGAUUUUUAGUUUUUUGAUAUCUCAAUAAUUAGAUUUGCUAACUAAGUAUCUGAAAUAAAAAUUAUUUUUUUUGCAUACAAUAAGGUUUUAAUUCUUCUCAAAUGCUCAUUGUUCUCAAGUACAGUAACAAUAUGUCACCUCCUCUGUAUAUUCAUGAGGACUAGUAAAAGAAAUGAUAAACAUUAAAAUGAACAAUUAACACUCAAAAGACAACAAUUAACACAUUGUUAAAAUGAACCCCUCAUAUUCAACGGCUAAUACAAACCAAUUAGAGUUUUAUUCGUAAAACAUAUAUUAUGACGUACCCUCCCUUAAAUAAUAUUAUUACAAUUAAUCACCAAAGGUAAAAUUGAAGAAUAAGGUCUACUUCAUACAACAAAAUAAGGUCUACUACAUACACAACAAGUUAAUAAAUCACACAAGUAGAAGAAUAAAAACAUUGAAACAUUUUGGCAUAAACAAUAAGAAACUAGUAGCUAUUUAAUAUAUAUUCCAACAAUAUUUCACUUUUUAUGGAUUCUCAUUUCCUCUUUCUUCUUGAAGUCAUUUCUAAGAUUUCAGUGUUCGUGAUUUUCUGAAAUGCCAUAUUUCUUCUUAUUGGGGUGAAUUUUGUGUUUUACAUAUCUUGUUUUUGUUUUUUCUUUGACAUAAUUUUGUUUUUUAACCCUAGAUGUGUGUGUAUAAGUUGUUUUAUAAUAUACAUUUUUUCUCUUUAAUAGAAAAUGCAUGAAAUUGGAAUAUCUUGAUUUUUAUUCUAUCUUUCUUCAGCGUGUGAUGAUGAUUUUGAUUUUUAGGCAAUAGUGACCUAAUUUCCCAGCAAAACUUCUCUCCUUAUAAGAUGUUAGUUGUCUUUGAGAAUGCAGGAAAGAAACAAAUACCCGAUAGAGAGUGGGAGGUGGAGGAGCAGCGUGACCAGAAGAAAACGGCGUUGGUGGUGGUCGUCGGAGAACACGGGAGACGCUGAUGGUGGUCAUCGGAGAACAUGGGCGGCGAUGGUGGAGCUGGUGGGAGAAAAACAAAUCAC